UUUCACUCUCCCGAGUUAACACGGACACAGAGAGAGAGAGAGAGAGAGAGAGCGCUUAGGUGGUGGUUAUGGCCGAUAGCAUAGAGGGCGCGUCGCUGCCAUCGGGGCCAGACGCGAAGAAGAGGCGAGUAAGCUACUUCUACGAGCCGAGCAUAGGGGAUUACUACUACGGGCAGGGGCAUCCGAUGAAGCCCCACAGGAUCCGGAUGGCCCACAACCUCAUCGUCCACUACGCGCUCCACCGUCGGAUGGAGAUCAACCGGCCGUUUCCGGCGGGGCCCGCCGAUAUCAGGAGGUUCCACUCGCUGGAGUACGUGGACUUCCUGGCCUCCGUCACGCCGGUGACCCUUAACGACCCGGUCUUCUCGCGCCACCUCAAGCGCUUCAAUGUCGGCGAGGACUGUCCGGUCUUCGACGGUCUCUUCGGGUUCUGCCAGGCCUCCGCCGGCGGCUCCAUCGGCGCCGCCGUCAAGCUCAACCGUGGAGACGCCGAUAUCGCCCUCAACUGGGCCGGCGGCCUCCACCACGCCAAGAAGGCCGAGGCCUCCGGCUUCUGCUACGUCAACGACAUAGUGCUCGGCAUUCUCGAGCUUCUAAAAGUUCACAGGCGUGUACUCUAUGUAGAUAUUGAUGUUCACCAUGGAGAUGGGGUUGAGGAGGCAUUUUACGCCACUGACAGAGUCAUGACGGUAUCCUUCCAUAAAUUUGGGGAUUUCUUUCCUGGGACCGGGCACAUUAAGGACACAGGGUGGGGGACUGGGAAGAACUACGCCCUGAAUGUCCCAUUAAAUGAUGGAAUGGAUGACGAGAGUUUCCGUGGUCUGUUUCGGCCCAUCAUUCAAAAAGUCAUGGAGAUCUAUCAGCCAGACGCAGUUGUUCUUCAAUGCGGAGCAGAUUCAUUGUCUGGUGACAGGUUGGGGUGCUUCAACUUGUCUGUGAAGGGCCAUGCGGAUUGCCUUCGUUUUCUUAGAUCUUUCAAUGCACCUCUGAUGGUCUUGGGUGGUGGAGGGUAUACAAUCCGUAAUGUUGCCCGUUGCUGGUGCUACGAGACAGCAGUUGCAGUUGGAGUGGAGCCUGAUAAUAAAUUGCCUUACAACGAAUAUUAUGAGUAUUUUGGCCCAGAUUAUACUCUUCAUGUUGAUCCAUGCAACAUGGAGAAUCUAAACUCACCCAAAGAUAUGGAGAAAAUAAGGAAUACGCUGCUAGAGCAACUUUCAAGAUUACCACAUGUGCCUAGUGUACCUUUUCAGACAACACCACCCAUCACACAAGCCCCGGAAGAGGCGGAAGAGAGCAUGGAUCAAAGGCCAAAACCUCGCAUAUGGAAUGGUGAUGAGUAUGACUCUGAUCCUGAUGAAGACGAGAAGCCUCAACAUGCUGAGCCAAAUUUGGAAACGAGAGAUGCAGUUGAUGAAAUGGAUGAAGAUAAACGUGAAGACCAUCCUUUAUCUUGAUAUGGAUUAACUUUAUAGCUUCUAUAGUUGUAUCUCAUUUGGACAGAAUAGGAAAUAGAGCGACCGAUAUAGGAGACCGAAAUGUUUAGGAAUUAGGAUUUCAUUAGGGGGAAAUGCAUUCCCAUAUAUAUAUAUAUAUAUAUAUAUAUAUAUAUAUAUUAUGCUAUGUUUUGAGAUGUUUAGUAAGUGCCUGAGGGCACGUUUGGACAAUUACUGUGACAAUUCUAGUUAUGUUA